rnacentral:rRNA from 1 species
CAUUGAAACUUUUCAGCUAGAGUAUGAUAGAGGAAAGCAGAAUUUCUAGUGUAGAGGUGAAAUUCGUAGAUAUUACAAAGAAUACCAAUUGCGAAGGCAGCUUUCUGGAUCAUUACUGACACUGAUGAACGAAAGCAUGGGUAGCGAACAGGAUUAGAUACCCUCGUAGUCCAUGCCGUAAACGAUGUGUGCUAGACGUUGGAAAUUUAUUUUCAGUGUCGCAGGGAAAUCGAUAAACACACCGCCUGGGGAGUACGACCGCAAGGUUAAAACUCAAAUGAAUUGACGG